AAUAAAUACCACACUCGGUCUCAUUACAUACGAAUUAUACGAAACUCGUGACCUUCCGAUGGUUUCUGACAUCCCCUUCGCUCUGUCAGAUAUAAUAAGAAAGACACUCGUUUCGUAUAAUUCGUAUGUAAUGAGACCUCUUGUAGUAUUCUCUAUAAACUCACCGCCGCCAUAUAGCUGGAAUAUUGCUG